CCUACGGGGGGCAGCAGUGGGGAAUAUUGGACAAUGGGGGCAACCCUGAUCCAGCCAUGCCGCGUGUGUGAAGAAGGCCCUCGGGUUGUAAAGCACUUUCAGUGAGGAAGAACGCCUGGUGGUUAAUACCCAUCAGGAAAGACAUCACUCACAGAAGAAGCACCGGCUAACUCCGUGCCAGCAGCCGCGGUAAUACGGAGGGUGCGAGCGUUAAUCGGAAUUACUGGGCGUAAAGCGCGCGUAGGUGGCUUGAUAAGCCGGUUGUGAAAGCCCCGGGCUCAACCUGGGAACGGCAUCCGGAACUGUCAAGCUAGAGUGCAGGAGAGGAAGGUAGAAUUCCCGGUGUUGCGGUGAAAUGCGUAGAGAUCGGGAGGAAUACCAGUGGCGAAGGCGGCCUUCUGGACUGACACUGACACUGAGGUGCGAAAGCGUGGGUAGCAAACAGGAUUAGAUACCCCUGUAGUC
rnacentral:rRNA from 1 species